AACAGGAUUAGAUACCCUGGUAGUCCACGCCGUAAACGAUGUCGACUUGGAGGUUGUGCCCUUGAGGCGUGGCUUCCGGAGCUAACGCGUUAAGUCGACCGCCUGGGGAGUACGGCCGCAAGGUUAAAACUCAAAUGAAUUGACGGGGGCCCGCACAAGCGGUGGAGCAUGUGGUUUAAUUCGAUGCAACGCGAAGAACCUUACCUGGUCUUGACAUCCACGGAAGUUUUCAGAGAUGAGAAUGUGCCUUCGGGAACCGUGUGACAGGUGCUGCAUGGCUGUCGUCAGCUCGUGUUGUGAAAUGUUGGGUUAAGUCCCGCAACGAGCGCAACCCUUAUCCUUUGUUGCCAGCGGUCCGGCCGGGAACUCAAAGGAGACUGCCAGUGAUAAACUGGAGGAAGGUGGGGAUGACGUCAAGUCAUCAUGGCCCUUACGACCAGGGCUACACACGUGCUACAAUGGCGCAUACAAAGAGAAGCGACCUCGCGAGAGCAAGCGGACCUCAUAAAGUGCGUCGUAGUCCGGAUUGGAGUCUGCAACUCGACUCCACGAAGUCGGAAUCGCUAGUAAUCGUGGAUCAGAAUGCCACGGUGAAUACGUUCCCGGGCCUUGUACACACCGCCCGUCACACCAUGGGAGUGGGUUGCAAAAGAAGUAGGUAGCUUAACCUUCGGGAGGGCGCUUACCACUUUGUGAUUCAUGACUGGGGUGAAGUCGUAACAAGGUAACC
rnacentral:rRNA from 1 species